GAUGAACGCUGGCGGCGUGCAUAACACAUUCAAGUCGAACGAGGUAGCAAUACCGAGUGGCGGACGGGUGAGUAACGCGUGAGCAACCUGCCCUUGUGUGGGGGAUACCGUCUGGAAACGACUGCUAAUACCGCAUAAUGUUUCCGGUCCGCAUGGACUGGAAACCAAAGCUUUAUGUGCUGAAAGAUGGCCUCGCGUCUGAUUAGAUAGUUGGUGGGGUAACGGCCUACCAAGUCAACGAUCAGUAGCCGGUCUGAGAGGAUGAACGGCCACAUUGGGACUGAGAUACGGCCCAG
rnacentral:rRNA from 1 species